rnacentral:rRNA from 1 species
UACGGAAGGUCCGGGCGUUAUCCGGAUUUAUUGGGUUUAAAGGGAGCGCAGGCGUGCUUUUAAGCGUGACGUGAAAUGUAGAUGCUCAACAUCCGCACUGCGUCGCGAACUGGAGGCCUUGAGUGCAUGCGACGUGGACGGAAUUCGUGGUGUAGCGGUGAAAUGCUUAGAUAUCACGAAGAACUCCGAUUGCGAAGGCAGUCCACGAGUCUGUAACUGACACUAAAGCUCGAAAGUGCGGGUAUCGGAC